rnacentral:rRNA from 1 species
GAUGAACGCUGGCUACAGGCUUAACACAUGCAAGUCGAGGGGAAACGACGGGGAAGCUUGCUUCCCCGGGCGUCGACCGGCGCACGGGUGAGUAACGCGUAACCAACCUGCCUCUGACUGAGGGAUAACCCGUCGCAAGUCGGCCUAAUACCUCAUGGCAUCGUCUGCGGGCAUCCAACGACGAUUCAAGCUUUCAUCGGUCAGUGAUGGGGAUGCGUCUGAUUAGCCUGUUGGCAAGGUAACGGCCCACCAAGGCAACGAUCAGUAGGGGAACUGAGAGGGUGAUCGGACAGACUGGAACUGAGACACGGUCCAGACGCCUACGGGAGGCAGCAGUAGGGAAUCUUCCGCAAUGGGCGCAAGCCUGACGGAGCAACGCCGCGUGAGUGAAGAAGGUCUUCGGAUCGUAAAGCUCUGUUAUUAGGGAAGAACAAAUGUGUAAGUAACUAUGCACGUCUUGACGGUACCUAAUCAGAAAGCCACGGCUAACUACGUG